UACGUAGGGGGCAAGCGUUGUCCGGAUUCAUUGGGCUUAAAGCGCGUGUAGGCGGCCAGGUAGGUCCGACGUGAAAACUGGAGGCUCAACCUCCAGCUGUCGUUGGAAACCAUCUGGCUAGAGUCCGGAAGAGGAGAGUGGAAUUCCUGGUGUAGCGGUGAAAUGCGCAGAUAUCAGGAAGAACACCCGUGGCGAAGGCGGCUCGCUGGGACUGUACUGACGCUGAGACGCGAAAGCGUGGGGAGCAAACAGG
rnacentral:rRNA from 1 species